GGGAGAAUGGCGGAACCGGCAGACGCUACGGACUUAAAAUCCGUUGUUCCAAAAGAACGUGGGGGUUCAAGUCCCCCUUCUCCCACCA
rnacentral:tRNA from 1 species